GUAGAGAAACAAGCGGAGUUAACCGAAGAGGGGGUCGAGGAGAGCCGGAGUCGGGGACCCAGGAGUUUCCUGUGUCCAGCGCUGCCGGAGCCGCCUGAGGUGCCAUGUUUCAGAACAGAGUAAGACCCCUGGUAAAGAAGAACUGAAGAUAUUAUACAGAUACCAGAUAUAGCCUAAUUACAAAGAAAGCAUUAACCUGCCUCUGAGGUGACUAAAGGGGAAUAAUGGUGAUUUUGCGCCGGGCUCGGCCGCCUGCUUCCGCCCCAACCAGCAAUGAAUCUUGACUCGCUCUCGCUGGCCUUGUCUCAAAUCAGCUACCUGGUGGACAAUUUAACCAAGAAAAAUUACCGAGCCAGCCAGCAGGAAAUACAGCAUAUUGUGAAUCGGCACGGUCCUGAGGCAGACAGGCAUUUAUUACGCUGCCUAUUUUCGCAUGUGGAUUUCAGUGGCGAUGGUAAAAGCAGUGGCAAAGAUUUCCAUCAGACUCAGUUUCUGAUUCAGGAGUGUGCGUUGCUGAUUACAAAGCCAAAUUUUAUCUCGACGCUGUCCUAUGCCAUUGAUAAUCCAUUGCACUAUCAGAAGAGUUUAAAGCCUGCACCCCACUUAUUUGCCCAGCUGAGUAAAGUGCUCAAAUUAAGCAAAGUACAAGAGGUAAUUUUUGGCCUUGCCCUGUUGAAUUCUUCCAGCUCAGAUCUUAGAGGUUUCGCUGCCCAGUUUAUCAAACAGAAGCUUCCAGAUCUUCUGCGUUCUUACAUUGACGCAGACGUCAGUGGAAAUCAAGAAGGUGGCUUCCAAGAUAUAGCAAUAGAGGUCCUACACCUCCUCCUCUCCCAUCUCCUCUUUGGGCAGAAGGGAGCCUUUGGAGUUGGACAAGAACAGAUAGACGCUUUUCUUAAGACGCUGCGCAGAGAUUUUCCCCAAGAACGCUGUCCCGUGGUGCUCGCACCACUUUUAUACCCUGAAAAACGGGACAUUCUAAUGGACAGGAUCCUGCCUGAUUCCGGAGGGGUAGCUAAAACCAUGAUGGAGAGCUCUUUGGCUGAUUUCAUGCAAGAAGUAGGCUAUGGCUUUUGUGCAAGUAUUGAAGAAUGUCGCAAUAUAAUCGUGCAGUUUGGUGUUCGGGAGGUCACAGCUGCCCAGGUUGCAAGGGUUUUGGGAAUGAUGGCUCGAACUCAUUCAGGAUUAACAGAUGGCAUUCCAUUACAGAGUAUUUCUGCUCCGGGCAGUGGGAUCUGGAGUGAUGGGAAAGAUAAAAGUGAUGGAGCACAGGCACACACAUGGAAUGUAGAAGUCUUGAUUGACGUUCUUAAAGAACUGAAUCCAAGUUUGAAUUUCAAGGAAGUAACUUAUGAACUGGACCAUCCUGGAUUUCAAAUUCGUGACAGUAAAGGACUUCAUAAUGUGGUUUAUGGCAUUCAGAGGGGUUUGGGUAUGGAAGUGUUCCCAGUAGACCUCAUAUAUAGACCUUGGAAACAUGCUGAAGGCCAGCUCUCCUUCAUUCAACAUUCCCUUAUAAAUCCAGAGAUCUUCUGUUUUGCUGACUAUCCCUGUCAUACUGUUGCCACUGAUAUUCUGAAAGCACCACCAGAGGAUGACAAUCGAGAAAUUGCCACAUGGAAGAGCUUGGAUUUGAUUGAAUCUCUGCUGAGGCUUGCAGAGGUUGGGCAGUAUGAGCAAGUCAAACAGCUCUUCAGCUUCCCUAUCAAACACUGUCCAGACAUGCUGGUAUUGGCCUUACUACAAAUUAACACCUCUUGGCAUACCUUGCGCCAUGAACUUAUCUCCACUCUGAUGCCAAUUUUCCUUGGAAACCAUCCUAACUCAGCUAUUAUUUUGCACUAUGCAUGGCAUGGGCAGGGACAGUCUCCCUCAAUUCGCCAACUUAUCAUGCAUGCAAUGGCAGAAUGGUACAUGAGAGGGGAGCAGUAUGAUCAGGCCAAAUUGUCUCGAAUACUUGAUGUGGCCCAGGACUUGAAGGCCUUGUCAAUGCUGCUAAAUGGUACUCCAUUUGCCUUUGUUAUUGACCUUGCUGCACUUGCUUCACGUCGUGAAUACCUCAAACUUGAUAAGUGGCUCACAGAUAAAAUUCGAGAGCAUGGGGAGCCUUUUAUCCAGGCGUGUAUGACUUUUUUAAAGAGACGGUGUCCUUCUAUUUUGGGCGGACUUGCCCCAGAAAAAGACCAGCCCAAAAGUGCUCAACUUCCUCCAGAAACUUUGGCGACAAUGUUGGCCUGUCUGCAAGCUUGUGCAGGGAGUGUUUCUCAGGAGCUAUCAGAAACUAUCCUCACCAUGGUAGCCAAUUGCAGUAAUGUUAUGAAUAAGGCCAGACAACCACCACCUGGAGUUAUGCCAAAAGGACGUCCUCCUAGUGCUAGCAGCUUAGAUGCCAUUUCUCCUGUUCAGAUUGACCCUCUUGCUGGAAUGACAUCUCUUAGUAUAGGUGGUUCAGCUGCCCCUCACACCCAGAGUAUGCAGGGUUUUCCUCCAAAUUUGGGUUCUGCAUUCAGUACCCCUCAGUCACCAGCAAAAGCAUUUCCACCCCUUUCAACCCCCAAUCAGACCACUGCAUUCAGUGGUAUUGGAGGACUUUCAUCACAGCUUCCAGUAGGUGGUCUUGGCACAGGCAGCCUGACUGGUAUAGGAACUGGUGCUCUUGGACUCCCUGCAGUGAAUAACGACCCUUUUGUACAGAGGAAACUGGGCACCUCUGGACUGAAUCAGCCUACAUUCCAGCAGACGGACUUGUCUCAGGUGUGGCCAGAGGCAAACCAGCACUUUAGUAAAGAGAUAGAUGAUGAAGCAAACAGCUAUUUCCAGCGAAUAUAUAAUCAUCCACCACAUCCAACCAUGUCUGUUGAUGAGGUAUUAGAAAUGCUGCAGAGAUUUAAAGACUCUACUAUAAAGAGGGAACGAGAAGUAUUUAACUGUAUGCUAAGGAACUUGUUUGAAGAAUAUCGUUUUUUUCCCCAGUAUCCUGAUAAAGAGUUACAUAUAACAGCCUGCCUAUUUGGUGGUAUAAUUGAGAAAGGACUGGUCACUUACAUGGCACUAGGUCUGGCUCUACGAUAUGUUCUUGAAGCCUUACGCAAGCCUUUUGGAUCCAAAAUGUAUUAUUUCGGGAUUGCUGCACUAGAUAGAUUUAAAAACAGAUUGAAGGACUAUCCCCAGUAUUGUCAGCAUUUGGCUUCUAUCAGUCACUUUAUGCAAUUUCCACAUCAUUUACAGGAGUAUAUUGAGUAUGGACAGCAGUCUAGAGAUCCUCCUGUGAAAAUGCAAGGCUCUAUCACAACCCCUGGAAGUAUUGCACUGGCUCAGGCCCAGGCUCAGGCCCAGGUUCCAGCAAAAGCUCCUCUUGCUGGUCAAGUUAGCACUAUGGUAACCACCUCAACAACUACCACUGUUGCUAAAACGGUUACGGUCACCAGGCCAACUGGAGUCAGCUUUAAGAAAGAUGUGCCACCUUCUAUUAAUACUACAAAUAUAGAUACGUUGCUUGUGGCCACAGAUCAAACUGAGAGAAUUGUGGAGCCCCCAGAAAAUAUCCAGGAGAAAAUUGCUUUUAUUUUCAAUAAUCUCUCACAGUCAAAUAUGACACAAAAGGUUGAAGAGCUAAAGGAAACGGUGAAAGAAGAAUUUAUGCCUUGGGUUUCACAGUAUCUGGUUAUGAAGAGAGUCAGUAUUGAGCCAAACUUUCAUAGCCUGUAUUCAAACUUCCUUGACACGCUGAAGAAUCCUGAAUUUAACAAGAUGGUUCUGAAUGAGACCUACAGAAACAUUAAAGUGCUCCUGACCUCUGAUAAAGCUGCAGCCAAUUUCUCAGAUCGUUCUUUGCUGAAGAACUUGGGACAUUGGCUAGGAAUGAUCACAUUAGCUAAAAACAAACCCAUCUUACACACUGACUUGGAUGUGAAAUCAUUGCUGCUAGAGGCUUAUGUUAAAGGACAACAAGAAUUGCUCUAUGUAGUGCCCUUUGUUGCCAAAGUCUUAGAAUCUAGCAUUCGUAGUGUGGUUUUUAGGCCACCAAACCCUUGGACAAUGGCAAUUAUGAAUGUAUUAGCUGAGCUACAUCAGGAGCAUGACUUAAAGUUAAACUUGAAGUUUGAAAUCGAGGUUCUCUGCAAGAACCUUGCAUUAGACAUCAAUGAGCUAAAACCUGGAAACCUCCUAAAGGAUAAAGAUCGCCUGAAGAAUUUAGAUGAGCAACUCUCUGCUCCAAAGAAAGAUGUCAAGCAGCCAGAAGAACUCCCUCCCAUCACAACCACAACAACUUCUACUACACCAGCUACCAACACCACUUGUACAGCCACGGUUCCACCACAGCCACAGUACAGCUACCACGACAUCAAUGUCUAUUCCCUUGCGGGCUUGGCACCACACAUUACUCUGAAUCCAACAAUUCCCUUGUUUCAGGCCCAUCCACAGUUGAAGCAGUGUGUGCGUCAGGCAAUUGAACGGGCUGUCCAGGAGCUGGUCCAUCCUGUGGUGGAUCGAUCAAUUAAGAUUGCCAUGACUACUUGUGAGCAAAUAGUCAGGAAGGAUUUUGCCCUGGAUUCGGAGGAAUCUCGAAUGCGAAUAGCAGCUCAUCACAUGAUGCGUAACUUGACAGCUGGAAUGGCUAUGAUUACAUGCAGGGAACCUUUGCUCAUGAGCAUAUCUACCAACUUAAAAAACAGUUUUGCCUCAGCCCUUCGUACUGCUUCCCCACAACAAAGAGAAAUGAUGGAUCAGGCAGCUGCUCAAUUAGCUCAGGACAAUUGUGAGUUGGCUUGCUGUUUUAUUCAGAAGACUGCAGUAGAAAAAGCAGGCCCUGAGAUGGACAAGAGAUUAGCAACUGAAUUUGAGCUGAGAAAACAUGCUAGGCAAGAAGGACGCAGAUACUGUGAUCCUGUUGUUUUAACAUAUCAAGCUGAACGGAUGCCAGAGCAAAUCAGGCUGAAAGUUGGUGGUGUGGACCCAAAGCAGUUGGCUGUUUACGAAGAGUUUGCACGCAAUGUUCCUGGCUUCUUACCUACAAAUGACUUAAGUCAGCCCACGGGAUUUUUAGCCCAGCCCAUGAAGCAAGCUUGGGCAACAGAUGAUGUAGCUCAGAUUUAUGAUAAGUGUAUUACAGAACUGGAGCAACAUCUACAUGCCAUCCCACCAACUUUGGCCAUGAACCCUCAAGCUCAGGCUCUUCGAAGUCUCUUGGAGGUUGUAGUUUUAUCUCGAAACUCUCGGGAUGCCAUAGCUGCUCUUGGAUUGCUCCAAAAGGCUGUAGAGGGCUUACUAGAUGCCACAAGUGGUGCUGAUGCUGACCUUCUGCUGCGCUACAGGGAAUGCCACCUCUUGGUCCUAAAAGCUCUGCAGGAUGGCCGGGCAUAUGGGUCUCCAUGGUGCAACAAACAGAUCACAAGGUGCCUAAUUGAAUGUCGAGAUGAAUAUAAAUAUAAUGUGGAGGCUGUGGAGCUGCUAAUUCGCAAUCAUUUGGUUAAUAUGCAGCAGUAUGAUCUUCACCUAGCGCAGUCAAUGGAGAAUGGCUUAAACUACAUGGCUGUGGCAUUUGCUAUGCAGUUAGUAAAAAUCCUGCUGGUGGAUGAAAGGAGUGUUGCUCAUGUUACUGAGGCAGAUCUGUUCCACACCAUUGAAACCCUCAUGAGGAUUAAUGCUCAUUCCAGAGGCAAUGCUCCAGAAGGAUUGCCCCAGCUGAUGGAAGUAGUGCGAUCCAACUAUGAAGCAAUGAUUGAUCGUGCUCAUGGAGGCCCAAACUUUAUGAUGCAUUCUGGGAUCUCUCAAGCCUCAGAGUAUGAUGACCCUCCAGGCCUGAGGGAGAAGGCAGAGUAUCUUCUGAGGGAAUGGGUGAAUCUCUACCAUUCAGCAGCAGCUGGCCGCGACAGUACCAAAGCUUUCUCUGCAUUUGUUGGACAGAUGCACCAGCAAGGAAUACUGAAGACCGAUGAUCUCAUAACAAGGUUCUUUCGUCUGUGUACUGAAAUGUGUGUUGAAAUCAGUUACCGUGCUCAGGCUGAGCAGCAGCACAAUCCUGCUGCCAAUCCCACCAUGAUCCGAGCCAAGUGCUAUCACAACCUGGAUGCCUUUGUUCGACUCAUUGCACUGCUCGUGAAACACUCAGGGGAGGCCACCAACACUGUCACAAAGAUUAAUCUGCUGAACAAGGUCCUUGGUAUAGUAGUGGGAGUUCUCCUUCAGGAUCAUGAUGUUCGUCAGAGUGAAUUUCAGCAACUUCCCUACCAUCGAAUUUUUAUCAUGCUUCUCUUGGAACUCAAUGCACCUGAGCAUGUGUUGGAAACCAUUAAUUUCCAGACACUUACAGCUUUCUGCAAUACAUUCCACAUCUUGAGGCCUACCAAAGCUCCUGGCUUUGUAUAUGCCUGGCUUGAACUGAUUUCCCAUCGGAUAUUUAUUGCAAGAAUGCUGGCACAUACGCCACAGCAGAAGGGGUGGCCUAUGUAUGCACAGCUACUGAUUGAUUUAUUCAAAUAUUUAGCGCCUUUCCUUAGAAAUGUGGAACUCACCAAACCUAUGCAAAUCCUCUACAAGGGCACUUUAAGAGUGCUGCUGGUUCUUUUGCAUGAUUUCCCAGAGUUCCUUUGUGAUUACCAUUAUGGGUUCUGUGAUGUGAUCCCACCUAAUUGUAUCCAGUUAAGAAAUUUGAUCCUGAGUGCCUUUCCAAGAAACAUGAGGCUCCCCGACCCAUUCACUCCUAAUCUAAAGAGUCUUACUCUGUGACCCAGGCUGGAGUGCAGUGGUGCAGUCUCGGCUUACUGCAACCUCCCCUUCGCUGGUUCAAGCUAUUCUCCCGCCUCAGCCUCCCAAGUAGCUGGGAUUACAGGCACUCGCCACCACACCUGGCUAAUUAUGUGUUUAGUGGAGAUGGGGUUUCGCCAUGUCAGCCAGGUGGACAUGUUGAGUGAAAUUAACAUUGCUCCCCGGAUUCUCACCAAUUUCACUGGAGUAAUGCCACCUCAGUUCAAAAAGGAUUUGGAUUCCUAUCUUAAAACUCGAUCACCAGUCACUUUCCUGUCUGAUCUGCGCAGCAACCUACAGGUAUCCAAUGAACCUGGGAAUCGCUACAACCUCCAGCUCAUCAAUGCACUGGUGCUCUAUGUCGGGACUCAGGCCAUUGCGCACAUCCACAACAAGGGCAGCACACCUUCAAUGAGCACCAUCACUCACUCAGCACACAUGGAUAUCUUCCAGAAUUUGGCUGUGGACUUGGACACUGAGGGUCGCUAUCUCUUUUUGAAUGCAAUUGCAAAUCAGCUCCGGUACCCAAAUAGCCACACUCACUACUUCAGUUGCACCAUGCUGUACCUUUUUGCAGAGGCCAAUACGGAAGCCAUCCAAGAACAGAUCACAAGAGUUCUCUUGGAACGGUUGAUUGUAAAUAGGCCACAUCCUUGGGGUCUUCUUAUUACCUUCAUUGAGCUGAUUAAAAACCCAGCGUUUAAGUUCUGGAACCAUGAAUUUGUACACUGUGCCCCAGAAAUCGAAAAGUUAUUCCAGUCGGUCGCACAGUGCUGCAUGGGACAGAAGCAGGCCCAGCAAGUAAUGGAAGGGACAGGUGCCAGUUAGACGAAACUGCAUCUCUGUUGUACGUGUCAGUCUAGAGGUCUCACUGCACCGAGUUCAUAAACUGACUGAAGAAUCCUUUCAGCUCUUCCUGACUUUCCCAGCCCUUUGGUUUGUGGGUAUCUGCCCCAACUACUGUUGGGAUCAGCCUCCUGUCUUAUGUGGGCACGUUCCAAAGUUUAAAUGCAUUUUUUUGACUCUUGGCCAAAAUUUAGAAGAUGCUGUGAAUAUCAUUUUGAACUUGUGUAAAUACAUGAAAGAGAAAACCUUUGUCUGGAACUUCUUGGCUUUGUGCAAGCUGUGUCCAAGGCAAGUACAUAAACUGGUACCUUGUAAUGAAGAGGCAGCUGAUGCCAUGCACUUGUCUGAGGGCAUAGCUCCAUGUCUUCUGACAUUCCUGGUGUCCCAAAGAAUAGCAAAAAGCCAGUUUGAAUAUUAUGUAACUUAUUUUUUUAAUGUGGACAGGGGACCUUGAAAAUCACUAAGUUAUUAAAAAUGUGGAUGUGCUAGAAUUGGAUAUGUCCAGGAACAUGGGAAGGGCUCACUAUUGGAAUCCCAUGAGUUUCCAUUUUGUCUCUACCCAAACGUAUUCCAAAGCUGACUGCAUUUGUACCAUCUUAUUUCUUUUGGGGAUUAUACACCUCAGCCGCCUGAGAUGGGGGUCAGCUCUUUAUAUAAAGGGAAACCAGACCAGGCCUAAAGCCCACCCCUACCCUCACCCCCCCAAUCCUCUCCUGAAACUUAAAAACAGUGGGAAUAUAGGAAAGGGAACCAAAUCUCAUUAAUUAAUUGUUCUCCCCCAUUACCCCACUGAAUGAAUGGCCAUACAGGCUAAGCUGAAUAAUGACAAAGUUGAAAGGACCAAUACAGCCCCUUUUAUAAGGAUUUUGAAUGUUUUGCAAAUGUAUUGGUCCCUGUGUUGUAUUUUGUAGCCUUUUCCUGGGCUUCAGCUCCCCUACUUCUUGUAUGUGUAUGCAUACUGUAGCUAACCAUUAAAGUCAUGACACACA